rnacentral:lncRNA from 1 species
GGGAUAAGAAUCGUAUCUAACUACUGAAGAGACAAAUUAUUGCUUUUGCAUUUACAAUUAAAGUUAAAAAAAUUAUUUCUUUAUAUAAAGGAUAAACGAUCCCAGGUGUGAAUAAAAAACUUUCCUUCUUAGAUGCCUAUUCUCAGGUGUGAGGAUAUUUUGCAAUCUUAGAGAUCAAAUUACUUUUUUUAUGUGAUCACCAAAAUUG